rnacentral:rRNA from 1 species
GACGAACGCUGGCGGCGUGCUUAACACAUGCAAGUCGAGCGGUAAGGCCCUUUCGGGGGUACACGAGCGGCGAACGGGUGAGUAACACGUGGGUGACCUGCCCUCAGCUCUGGGAUAAGCCUGGGAAACUGGGCCUAAUACCGGAUAUGACUCCAUGACGCAUGUUGUGGGGUGGAAAGCCUUGUGCGGCUGAGGAUGGGCCCGCGGCCUAUCAGCUUGUUGGUGGGGUGAGGCCUACCAAGGCGACGACGGGUAGCCGGCCUGAGAGGGCGACCGGCCACACUGGGACUGAGACACGGCCCAGACUCCUACGGGAGGCAGCAGUGGGGAAUCUUGCGCAAUGGGCGAAAGCCUGACGCAGCGACGCCGCGUGAGGGAUGACGGCC